AGACCUAACAAACUGUAUGACUCUCCGGAACACAGAUUAUUUUUGUUCCAGUGUUCUUCUGACUGUAUCUAAAUCAUUGUAUCCUGAAAAGAAGUGGUGUGCAAUUUGGUUGUCAUCUAUUAUUGCUACUAGAAAGGAGAAAGCAUGGUUCAAGUUGUGAUGGAACUAAAUUAAGAAUUUCUUUCAAAUUUCUCAUAGGCGUUUUGAAUGUAUUCCGUUGUUGGAAGUGUACAAAUGACUGGCCUACUUCCCAGUGAUGACUGCUAAAAAUGUGCAUGCAAGAUACAAGUUGAAUAAGGCUCUUUUAUCCUAGAAGAGGAGGAGGACAUGUGGUUGUAUAGAUGUUACUGAGCAGGAAGUCACAUGAAGCUUUAAAAUGCUCAAUGACUGCUAGAUGUUAGCAAAGGCUUACCGAAAAGUCUAAUGGCUGCCUCUUAUUGUCUUUCUAAUCCUAACUCUGGAGGUCAGUGAGUUCUCCCAUGUAAUCUGUUUUA